AAUGCUUCUCGGCCUUUUGUCUAUGAUCAAGUGUAGUAUCUGUUCUUAUCUAACAACAACAACAACAACAACUUUAUUUAUAUCCCGCCACCAUCU
ensembl:snRNA U2 U2 spliceosomal RNA